AAUGAUUUGGGGAGUAUGAAGAUGACAAAUUUCUUGGGCCUAAAGGCCCAAGUUCUCAAAUACCGAAGGAUCGGGUUCCAUAGCCAUCAAGGGAACCAAAACACAUUCUGAAGAGAACUUGGCCGACGAACAACAAUCCGCUUGCACAUGUCCGAUACACCUCAUUCAUCUUCGUCGGGAUCCGAAUCCCUCAUUUGCACGCGCCGACCGCCACAAUCCGGAGUGUAUGCUGGUGUAGGUCUAUGUUCACGGCUUGAGAGGAUUUAUGCUAUGUAUAUUAAAUUGACUUCCGUUUGGAAAAAUGAAUGCAGGUCAAUGCAUGGAUUAAGCUUGUGAGGCUUGAAUUGGACAUCGGAUAGGCUUUUAAAGCUUGAAUUAGCUUGUGCUUUGUAAUUGGCUUAUGUUGUAUUGAAAUAAUGGAAAUUAAAUGUAAUGAAUGAAAUGGUAUCAAUGUGUAUAUGGAAAUUGAAUCAAUGCAUUAAUUGGUGAAU